CUACGUUUGCCAUGAAGGCUUGUCUGGAUCCACAACAUGUGGGAUAACGAGGCUCUGGUAAAGCUAGGUGGACCAAUCAUCUGCUUAGUGGAUACUACCGAUAACAGAUACAUUCACGAAGAAACUACAGGGUAAAUGACAUAUGUUUCCCAAUGAGCACAAGGGUUUAAGUAAUACCCUUGCAAAUGUCCAUUCCCUGUAUCCCUAAUAAUUGUGUUUAAUUAAUUAUUUGCAUUUUUAUCUUAAAGGAAAACAGUCAUCAAAUUAUUGCCGCUGAUGCCCUAUUUGGGCUUUCCCCAAAAAAGAUUGUCUGGGACCAACAUUAAGGGUCCCAAACAUGCUGGGCGGUUCUUUUGUGACCAAGACAAAGUCAACUGCUUUGUAGGAGGAGCAUCAGACACACCAACUGAGGGGUGCCCAGGAUUUCAAGCCGGUGAUGUGCUGCGAUCCAAAACCCAGAAACUGGACAUAACUGGUGUGUUUGGGAUGGCUUGCAGGCACAGGCAUCUGCUGAAGUUCCUGAACCUGAAGCGAGGAAAGAAGCUUGCAAAUGUUCCUGCUGGUGGACCUGAAAGCAAUGCAGGGACCAAACAUCACAACGUUUCUUCACUAUGA
rnacentral:lncRNA from 8 species